rnacentral:rRNA from 1 species
GUGCCAGCAGCCGCGGUAAUACGGAGGGCGCAAGCGUUGUUCGGAAUUACUGGGCGUAAAGCGCGUGUAGGCGGUCUAGCAAGUCGGUUGUGAAAUCCCCGGGCUCAACCCGGGAACUGCAUCCGAAACUGCUGGGCUAGAGUUUCGGAGAGGAAGGCAGAAUUCCCAAUGUAGGGGUGAAAUCCGUAGAUAUUGGGAGGAAUACCAGUGGCGAAGGCGGCCUUCUGGACGAUGACUGACGCUGAGACGCGAAAGCGUGGGGAGCAAACAGGAUUAGAAACCCCAGUAGUCC